CGUGCGCGCGCGCACAAUAAUAAAAACCGCGUACGCACGGAGAGCGUAUUUUUUCGUGCGUCGCGCGGGCCCAACGUAUUCGAGCACUCGGAUGAAUUUCGUUCGGUCGUGUUUGCGCAGAAUGUGUACAAGAGAACACGCUCGUGUGUACGCGCGCCUUAACGUUAUGUAACGCGCACGAGGCUUGUUUUGCUGCCCGCUCGGUCCCAAGUUGGCUGUUGGAUCGGACGUUCUGAAGAAAAAAAAAGAAAAAAAAUACGUAAAACGUGUAAUCAUUUAUUCGAAUUCAUAUGGUGUUCGGUUUUGAUUUUUAAACAAAGUUCCGUACAUGUGUACAGCUUUUCCGUCCAGAACAAUUGACCGGUGGCGAAGACAACGCGCAGCUGAUAACUGCGCUCGUGGCCAUUGCAUUGUUGGCAAAGAAAUUAUUGACUGGAUCGUAUUCGAAAUCUAAUAUUUUCAUUGUUACGAACAAUUCACUGUCGGUGAAAUGACCAUGAAACGCAUGUUGUCCACUACAACGGUUAUUGCUGAAGCACGGGCUCGUUGGUGGAGGUACGGAAGAGGCAGAAUUUUCAGAAGCCAGAGAAGAUUUAGCUACGUUGGAAAAAUAUGACGAAGAAGAGGGCGCUUGGAUUCAGUCGAAGUAGAGAUUGUGAUAAUACUGGAGAAAAGUUUUAACGUUUAAAAUUCGUAUAAAUCACAAGUAUGUCGAGUCUAACGUUUUGUUCCUCGACAAAUGUUAUUUCAACAAAAUAUUUAUCCGCACGAAAAAAAAAACAAAUGUAGGUACCUAUUGUUAGCUGUUAAAAACAAUUAGGUGCAAUAUAAGUGUUCAAAACACUGCGGGGGUUCUACGUAAUAUUUUCUUAUUAAUUUAGGGCUGUUCGUCGUUGCGGAGCUAUGAUACGACCGCGGAUGUGGCGUUGUUUCCGUCUGGACGGAUAUUGUAAUUGUUGCGGCUUUCGCGGGGCACGUAGUAACCGUUCGGAUGAGUUAUUUAUUUGUUUACAAUAAUAACAGAGUCAAAGAAAAAAGCGCAUCGAACGUGAACUCAUUCACGAGUCACAAGUACGCGCGUCAUUCGUGUCCAGACAGUGCAGCGCGCGGCCGGAGUGCAAACAACGAUUUGUGCGCGUCGUGGAACACGUAUAACACCCCAUACGCGUGUUCGUAUGUACAACCGCACCGCAGGCGCAAUCGGCAACAAUAAAAAUCGAACGAAACCGGAAAAGACGAGGCAUCGGGAUUUCGAAUCGUUUGGAAAAAGCGCGUGACGGAGCGGUUGUACGGACAGAGGUGAUAAUCGCAUUGCGGUGCGGCUACAACGAAAAUAAAACAAUAACAACGUUAUCGACAGACACGGACGGGCGCGGCGCGGGAAAGAUAAAAUGUCAGAAAUACGACCUUGAGGGUUUAAGGUCGUCGACGGAUAAAAGGUCAACGGCGUCCUCGCGUGUACGCCGCCACGCGAGGAUAUCGGUGUUCGUCAAUGGUUCACGACUCCGAGCGCGGCGCGCGAGUUUUUCGGGGGAUGGCGAGGGGUGGCGAUGACCGAAGCGCGCGAACCGAUAAACGAGUAGAAACAAAAAAUAAAUGUAAUACCGGAGCGCAACGGAAAUCCUUUGCACGUUGACGUCGGUUCGCGUAGCCUGCCGGGACGCGCACAUGCGUCGUUCAAGAGUCGCUAAUCUCGCGCGCCGGACGGCGGUGCAAGGAAACAGUUGGGCGACGGGUGGCUACGCGAGGUGCACACAACACAGAUGGCGUUGCAGCGCGUAAAUAUCAUAUUAUUAUUAUUAUUAUUAUUAUUUCCCAUUCUGUUGCGGAACACGCGGCGGCCGAGAGCGCUCGGUGCCGCCCUCCCAUCGCGCCGCGAUGUCAUACCCAGACGACCUUCAUCUUCGUUCCCGUUCACCCUACCCGCGCGCGUACACCGCUCGCCCGUGCGUCGUGCAUUAAGCGCACUCGCCGCUUGUUUUGCUGCUCGGUCCCGAGUCACCUAUAUUUAAACUCUAUACUGAUUAUCUGCUGCACAACCAGUGUCGUUCGACGGUACUACACAAAAUUGUGCGACCACGUUGCUUAGUGGUAACACUUUACCGCCAACCAAUUCGAAGACGAGAACCGGUAUACACACUGUUCUGAACAGCCCAAGUGGUUAUUAUGUUUCUAUUAUCGUAUUGCCGUUCGGACAAUUUAUCAACCUAAGAUUGAAAAAACAAAAACCGUGGAUCACGGAUACAUUAUUCGACUGCCUGUGUUGUUAUACAAAGAAAAUUCAUACCUAAACCGUUCUAAUCUUAUAAUGUAAUUCAUUUUCCAGAACCUGCUGAAAAGCGGUUGGCAUUGUUUCAGAACAUGAAAUAUUCGGGUAGUCACCGAAAAAGAAAAUAUUGCUCGAGUGUUAUACAAAUAGUCAUCAACUACGGUAAAACUAGAAGUUAGAAUUUUGAACGAGAAAUACAAAAUCUGAUAUUUGAAGAACAAAAAUACAAAAAUUACAUAAAAGCAAAAUUUAAAUUGAUAGGGAAACCGCUUGUAAAGGAUUAACAGAAUUUCGUCAACAAUAGUCCUGAUAUUAAGUAUUCGAUGAAUUACGGAAAUGGUAAAAGAAUUGUUAGAAUUUCUUUUCAAUCAAAUUAUUGAACAUAGUAAUGUUGGAAUUUCAAUCAGAAAUUCAAAUUCCAUAUCUUCAUUUUAUUUAACUACAA